rnacentral:rRNA from 1 species
AAGAAAGGCCGGCAUUGCACUUAUAAUGCAAGUCGAACGGCUUCCAUCGUUCUUUGCUUGGUGGUGAGAGUGGCGAACGGGUGAGUAAUGCGUGACCGACCUGCCCCAUGCACCGGAAUAGCUCCUGGAAACGGGUGGUAAUGCCGGAUGCUCCAUCACACCGCAUGGUGUGUUGGGAAAGCCUUUGCGGCAUGGGAUGGGGUCGCGUCCUAUCAGCUUGAUGGCGGGGUAACGGCCCACCAUGGCUUCGACGGGUAGCCGGCCUGACAGGGCGACCGGCCACAUUGGGACUGAGAUACGGCCCAGACUCCUACGGGAGGCAGCCGUGGGGAAUAUUGCACAAUGGGCGCAAGCCUGAUGCAGCGACGCCGCGUGAAGGAUGGAGGCCUUCGGGUUGUAAACCUCUUUUGUUAGGGAGCAAGGCACUUUGUGUUGAGUGUACCUUUCAAAUAAACACCGGCUAACUACGUGCCAGCAUCCGCGGAAAUACUUAAGGUGCAAGCGUUAUCCGGAAUUAUUGGGCGUAAAGGGCUCGUAGGCGGUUCGUCGCGUCCAGUGUGAAAGAUUUCGCUUAACGGUGGAUCCGCGCGGGUUACGGUGGCCUUGAAUGCCUUUGGGAGACUGGAAAUCCCGAUGUAACGAUGGAAUGUGUAAAUAUCGUGAAGAACACCAAUGGUGAAUGAUUGUCUCUGGAACGUUACUGAAUAUGAAAAAUCU